rnacentral:rRNA from 1 species
UGCAAGCCGAGCGGUAGAGUCUCUUCGGAGACUUGAGAGCGGCGCACGGGUGCGGAACACGUGUGCAACCUGCCUUUAUCUGGGGGAUAGCCUUUCGAAAGGAAGAUUAAUACCCCAUAAUAUAUUGGAUGGCAUCAUUUGGUAUUGAAAACUCCGGUGGAUAGAGAUGGGCACGCGCAAGAUUAGAUAGUUGGUGAGGUAACGGCUCACCAAGUCAGCGAUCUUUAGGGGGCCUGAGAGGGUGAUCCCCCACACUGGUACUGAGACACGGACCAGACUCCUACGGGAGGCAGCAGUGAGGAAUAUUGGACAAUGGGUGAGAGCCUGAUCCAGCCAUCCCGCGUGAAGGACGACGGCCCUAUGGGUUGUAAACUUCUUUUGUAUAGGGAUAAACCUAGAUACGUGUAUCUAGCUGAAGGUACUAUACGAAUAAGCACCGGCUAACUCCGUGCCAGCAGCCGCGGUAAUACGGAGGGUGCAAGCGUUAUCCGGAUUUAUUGGGUUUAAAGGGUCCGUAGGCUGAUUUGUAAGUCAGUGGUGAAAUCUCACAGCUUAACUGGUGAAACUGCCAUUGAUACUGCAAGUCUUGAGUGUUGUUGAAGUAGCUGGAAUAAGUAGUGUAGCGGUGAAAUGCAUAGAUAUUACUUAGAACACCAAUUGCGAAGGCAGGUUACUAAGCAACAACUGACGCUGAUGGACGAAAGCGUGGGGAGCGAACAGGAUUAGAUACCCUGGUAGUCCACGCCGUAAACGAUGCUAACUCGUUUUUGGGGCGUAAGCUUCAGAGACUAAGCGAAAGUGAUAAGUUAGCCACCUGGGGAGUACGAACGCAAGUUUGAAACUCAAAGGAAUUGACGGGGGCCCGCACAAGCGGUGGAUUAUGUGGUUUAAUUCGAUGAUACGCGAGGAACCUUACCAAGGCUUAAAUGGGAAAUGACAGGUUUAGAAAUAGACUUUUCUUCGGACAUUUUUCAAGGUGCUGCAUGGUUGUCGUCAGCUCGUGCCGUGAGGUGUUAGGUUAAGUCCUGCAACGAGCGCAACCCCUGUCACUAGUUGCCAUCAUUAAGUUGGGGACUCUAGUGAGACUGCCUACGCAAGUAGAGAGGAAGGUGGGGAUGACGUCAAAUCAUCACGGCCCUUACGCCUUGGGCCACACACGUAAUACAAUGGCCGGUACAGAGGGCAGCUACACAGCGAUGUGAUGCAAAUCUCGAAAGCCGGUCUCAGUUCGGAUUGGAGUCUGCAACUCGACUCUAUGAAGCUGGAAUCGCUAGUAAUCGCGCAUCAGCCAUGGCGCGGUGAAUACGUUCCCGGGCCUUGUACACACCGCCCGUCAAGCCAUGGAAGUCUGGGGUACCUGAAGUCGGUGACC